AGAAAAGUAAACUAAUUUUAAGUUAGUAGGUUCAUACCCUAAAUAUAGAAAUUCAUUCUCUUUUCUA
rnacentral:tRNA from 1 species